AUCAAUAGUAUGUGCAUUACACAAACUCAUUUCUGUUAUUCAUUCACUGAUUACAUGGACAAGUUCUUCUAUUAUGACCAAAUUGACCACAAUUACCACAUUUUCUUUGUGUUGCAGGUGGUUCUAGAGAUUGCCUUGGAGAAUGUGGUACUUCAAUCUCCAUUGCAAGGUCUGGUGGAUUAUCUACACCUGGUGUUGAUUGUCGAGAUGAUCCUGUUGGUCGAGGUGCAUCAGGAAGUGGGCAGGUUACAUCUUUACAUUCGUAUCUGCAAAACGAUCUUAUCUUUUUGUAAAGGUACCAUUUCCUUUCAGUUGACAUACCCUUUGGUGGUAAUAUAUUAGGUAGUUCAUCUUCCAUUAUUUGAGCGUCCUCCUUCAGCAAAUUGAAUUGUGUGACUGGGCCAUCUACAGUUUGUCUGGCUGCAACUACACCAGCAAAGUAACUACACCAGUCAAGUGUUUCUACAAUGAGUUCACCAUUGCUACUUCCUACUGGUUGGGCUUUGUUCACAGCAGAUGAUUGUUCUACAACUUGAAUGAAGUCAUCCAAUGAGUCCACCUCUGCUUUACGGAAUUUUUGCUUUAAUAGUCCGAAGCACCAGUCUGGAGAAAAUUUUGUGUGUCCAACUGGCAGAAAGGAUAUUGAAAUGGACGCAUUGAGUCCUGUCAUGACUCUCCAUAAGAGUUGUCAGCAUUGAAAUGGAUACUGACUGAGUUGAGGCCAUGAUUCUUCAAAUAAAAAUGUACCAUGCUUAUGACAGGAUUU